GGAUUAUACAAAUGAAUCAAAACUUUCAACAACGGAUCUCUUGGUUCUGGCAUCGAUGAAGAACGCAGCGAAAUGCGAUAAGUAAUGUGAAUUGCAGAAUUCAGUGAAUCAUCGAAUCUUUGAACGCACAUUGCGCCCGCUAGUAUUCUGGCGGGCAU
rnacentral:rRNA from 2 species